ACUUAAUUGAUGUAAACAUAAGAAAUGGUUUUUACUAUAUAAAGUGAUUAAGCCAAUUUAAAUUUGUUACAAUUAAAGGGAAAAAAUGGCUCAAAUUCUCAAAUUUGCUUAUAUUUUGAUUCUUUUUGUUUCUCUUUUUGUCGUUGUAGUCUUUGGCUCAAGCUAUAAGUGUGAUACUCAUGAAGAUUGUUAUAAAUUAUUCCCAAAUGCUACUCCAGGAAUAAUGAAGUGUUGGGAAGGUCUUUGUGCCAUAAAAAUAUUGCGCAACGCGGACGCGAACUAGUAUCGAGGUGUUUGUUCAUGAAAAUAAAGUGGAGCAACAGGGUGUUCUAUGAGUUUGUUGGAUUAUUCUCAAAAAAAUAAUAGUGGGAUGCUAUCCCCCAUUCCCCACUAAGAUAGAUUAUGUUAGUUUUUUGUUAGCACAUUGCACUCUUUUUUCCUUCUCCUGAUUUUUCCUACGAAAUUUAAAGGUAAGAUUUUUAAUAAGACAGUUGUCAUUUGUUUUAGGUCUAACUUGGAUGUCCUCCAAGUUUGUAUUCUCGAUUUUAAUUUUAUGUUAUUGUGAGUUAGCUGGAUUUUUAAAGUUGAUUGAUGAAUUGCCGACCAAUAUAUUUUAUUAUUUUAUGUUGUA